rnacentral:rRNA from 1 species
GAUGAACGCUGGCGGCGUGCCUAAUACAUGCAAGUCGUGCGGUAACACUUCGGGUGACGAGCGGCGGACGGGUGAGUAAUGCAUAGGAACGUGCCCCAAAGUGAGGGAUAACUGCUCGAAAGCGUAGCUAAUACCGCAUAUUAUCUUCGGAUCAAAGCUUCGGCGCGUUGGGAGCGGCCUAUGUCUGAUUAGCUAGUUGGUAGGGUAAAGGCCUACCAAGGCGACGAUCAGUAGCUGGUUUGAGAGGAUGAUCAGCCACACUGGGACUGAGACACGGCCCAGACUCCUACAGGAGGCGGCAGUAGGGAAUUUUCCACAAUGUGGACAACCCUGAUGGAUCAACGCCGCGUGAGUGAUGAAGGCCUUAGGGUUGUAAAGCUCUUUUAGAUGGGAAGAUAAUGACGGUACCAUCAGAAAAAGCCCCGGCUAACUUCGUGCCAGCAGCCGCAGUAA